rnacentral:rRNA from 1 species
UACGUAGGGACCAAGCGUUGUUCGGAUUUACUGGGCGUAAAGGGCGCGUAGGCGGCUUGACAAGUCACUUGUGAAAUCUCCGGGCUUAACUCGGAACGGCCAAGUGAAACUGUCAUGCUAGAGUGCAGAAGGGGCAAUCGGAAUUCUUGGUGUAGCGGUGAAAUGCGUAGAUAUCAAGAGGAACACCUGAGGUGAAGACGGGUUGCUGGGCUGACACUGACGCUGAGGCGACGAAAGCCAGGGAGCAAACGGG